CCUGUACUUGGUGUUACUGCGAAGGGGGGACGGAGAAGGCUAUGUUGGCCGGGCGACGGUUGUCCCGGUUUAAGCGUGUAGGCUGGUUUUCCAGGCAAAUCCGGAAAAUCAAGGCUGAGGCGUGAUGACGAGGCACUACGGUGCUGAAGCAACAAAUGCCCUGCUUCCAGGAAAAGCCUCUAAGCAUCAGGUAACAUCAAAUCGUACCCCAAACCGACACAGGUGGUCAGGUAGAGAAUACCAAGGCGCUUGAGAGAACUCGGGUGAAGGAACUAGGCAAAAUGGUGCCGUAACUUCGGGAGAAGGCACGCUGACACGUAGGUGAAGUGAUUUACUCAUGGAGCUGAAGUCAGUCGAAGAUACCAGCUGGCUGCAACUGUUUAUUAAAAACACAGCACUGUGCAAACACGAAAGUGGACGUAUACGGUGUGACGCCUGCCCGGUGCCGGAAGGUUAAUUGAUGGGGUCAGCGCAAGCGAAGCUCCUGAUCGAAGCCCCGGUAAACGGCGGCCGUAACUAUAACGGUCCUAAGGUAGCGAAAUUCCUUGUCGGGUAAGUUCCGACCUGCACGAAUGGCGUAAUGAUGGCCAGGCUGUCUCCACCCGAGACUCAGUGAAAUUGAACUCGCUGUGAAGAUGCAGUGUACCCGCGGCAAGACGGAAAGACCCCGUGAACCUUUACUAUAGCUUGACACUGAACAUUGAGCCUUGAUGUGUAGGAUAGGUGGGAGGCUUUGAAGUGUGGACGCCAGUCUGCAUGGAGCCGACCUUGAAAUACCACCCUUUAAUGUUUGAUGUUCUAACGUGGACCCGUAAUCCGGGUUGCGGACAGUGUCUGGUGGGUAGUUUGACUGGGGCGGUCUCCUCCUAAAGAGUAACGGAGGAGCACGAAGGUUGGCUAAUCCUGGUCGGACAUCAGGAGGUUAGUGCAAUGGCAUAAGCCAGCUUGACUGCGAGCGUGACGGCGCGAGCAGGUGCGAAAGCAGGUCAUAGUGAUCCGGUGGUUCUGAAUGGAAGGGCCAUCGCUCAACGGAUAAAAGGUACUCCGGGGAUAACAGGCUGAUACCGCCCAAGAGUUCAUAUCGACGGCGGUGUUUGGCACCUCGAUGUCGGCUCAUCACAUCCUGGGGCUGAAGUAGGUCCCAAGGGUAUGGCUGUUCGCCAUUUAAAGUGGUACGCGAGCUGGGUUUAGAACGUCGUGAGACAGUUCGGUCCCUAUCUGCCGUGGGCGCUGGAGAACUGAGGGGGGCUGCUCCUAGUACGAGAGGACCGGAGUGGACGCAUCACUGGUGUUCGGGUUGUCAUGCCAAUGGCACUGCCCGGUAGCUAAAUGCGGAAGAGAUAAGUGCUGAAAGCAUCUAAGCACGAAACUUGCCCCGAGAUGAGUUCUCCCUGAGACUUAGAGUCUCCUGAAGGAACGUUGAAGACGACGACGUUGAUAGGCCGGGUGUGUAAGCGCAGCGAUGCGUUGAGCUAACCGGUACUAAUGAACCGUGAGG
rnacentral:rRNA from 2 species